rnacentral:rRNA from 1 species
GAUGAACGCUGGCGGCGUGCCUAAUACAUGCGAGUCGAGCGAACAGACGAGGAGCUUGCUCCUCUGACGUUAGCGGCGGACGGGUGAGUAACACGUGGAUAACCUACCUAUAAGACUGGGAUAACUUCGGGAAACCGGAGCUAAUACCGGAUAACAUGUUGAACCGCAUGGUUCAACAGUGAAAGACGGUUUUGCUGUCACUUAUAGAUGGAUCCGCGUCGCAUUAGCUAGUUGGUAAGGUAACGGCUUACCAAGGCAACGAUGCGUAGCCGACCUGAGAGGGUGAUCGGCCACACUGGAACUGAGACACGGUCCAGACUCCUACGGGAGGCAGCAGUAGGGAAUCUUCCGCAAUGGGCGAAAGCCUGACGGAGCAACGCCGCGUGAGUGAAGAAGGUCUUCGGAUCGUAAAACUCUGUUAUUAGGGAAGAACAAAUGUGUAAGUAACUAUGCACGUCUUGACGGUACCUAAUCAGAAAGCCACGGCUAACUACGUG